rnacentral:tRNA from 1 species
GGUUUUAUAGUAUAAAGGCAGUACAAAGGACUUUGAAUCCUUCAGCCCGGGUUCGAAUCCCGGUAGAACCU